rnacentral:tRNA from 1 species
CACUACGUUGACAUCGUAGGGGUCACAGGUUCAAUCCCUGUCGCGUCCA